rnacentral:rRNA from 1 species
GUGAGGAAUAUUGCGCAAUGGAGGCAACUCUGACGCAGCCAUGCCGCGUGCAGGAAGAAGGCGCUACGCGUUGUAAACUGCUUUUAACCGGGAAGAAACCCCAGGACGUGUCCUGGGUUGACGGUACCGGAGGAAUAAGCACCGGCUAACUUCGUGCCAGCAGCCGCGGUAAUACGAAGGGUGCAAGCGUUAUCCGGAUUCAUUGGGUUUAAAGGGUGCGUAGGCGGAGCGUUACGUCAGUGGUGAAAUCCUGCAGCUUAACUGUAGACUUGCCAUUGAUACUGGCGCUCUUGAGUGCGCUUGAAGUGGGCGGAAUGUGCCGUGUAGCGGUGAAAUGCUUAGAUAUGGCACAGAACACCAAUUGCGAAGGCAGCUCACUAAGGCGAUACUGACGCUGAGGCACGAAAGCGUGGGGAUCGAACAGGAUUAGAAACCCGUGUAGUCC